rnacentral:lncRNA from 1 species
AUCCUUCCUUCUCAAAAUGUAAAACUCUGAUGUUUCAAGGAGACCCAGAGACUAUCAGGUGCUCGGUGACAGGAGGGAAUCCUGUAGCUACAAUCACGUGGUCCUGUCUGGGCACUGGAUCAGCAUCGGUCAGUGACAGUGGUCAGACCAAGACAUCUACUCUCUCCUUCACUGUCAGCAGGAGUCAGACCAGUCAACUGUGUCAGUGUCUGGGGGCGUGACAGUAUAGAGGAUACAACCUCAGAUAUGAGGAACUUCAAUGUCAUUUGUCCCACAAACCCACAACCGCUCAAUGCCGAAAAUGACUUCACAGGUGUAAUAGCAGGAAGCACAAUAGGUACCUUCCUUCCUACCUUGCUGAUUGAAGGACUAGCUCUGACUGUCCUCUAUAGGAAGGGGUUCAGGUUUGGAAAAGUCUUGAAGGUAUGUUGUUAAAUAUCAUGUUACCUUAAAACAGUAUCCCAAGUACAAUGAAAAGGUGGUGUGGCAAUAUUUUUAGAAGAGAUGUUCCAUUAAAAGUGACGUCACUUGAUAAACAUGAAUGAUAAGCUUAGAAGUGAAAGUUACCCACGAAUCUAAAUAAUUACUGACUCAAACUAAACGCGCACAGUUUUGGAAUGUAUAUCGAAUUAAUGACAGCAUAAUAUAAACUGUUGUGCACCAGUAACUGCUUCUAUUCAGUACGUUUGUUAUAUUAGGUCAUUAGCGUUUCACAUGUCUUAUUCUCCCUUUGCAAUUUUUUCCACAUACCCAAGUUGACAUUUGUAAUGUGUGUAUGACAGAGUACACUAUAAUGAAUUCUCUUUUUUCAGGAACUGCUUCACACAAAAGGUAGACAAAAUGUAUGAAUAAAACAUUUUCAAAUAAUUUCCUCUGUAAUACAGUAAAUAUCAUUUACAAAAAUCAUAUAUUAAAGAUGUUUCUAUUAUAAAUUGCAAUAAACCGACCUCACUUCACUUUUGUAGAACCAGGAAUCCCGAAACUGAAGAAAUGGAAAACACAGGGUAUUCAUCCUUGGGUAGGUUGAAAACAGAUGUUCAGAUAGAUUGUUUUGGUCACGAAUAUGCCUGUACCGACUCCAGCUGAUAAACCGAUAUUAUAUGUUCAUAUUGAUUUGUUACAGAUUAAAUCAACAGUCCAACUCAGUACUCAAGCAUGGAUAAAGAGGCGUCUGAAUAGGAACAUUACACACAGUUAAAGAUUUGUGAGAACACAAACGGUAUAUUGAUACUUUGACAUUAUAUAUACCAUAGCAGUUCUCAGUCAGUAAACUCAGUGAAGGUACUGCAAGAUCAUCGGUGUGCUAUUAAACGUUGUGUUACUUUUUAGACGGGCAUAUAACAUUAGUGUUUGUUCUUUGGAAAUGCGUUACAAGUAAUAUUUUCAGUCUAGGUAAAAGCAGAAACAAGUACAUACGAAGACAUGACUGAAGCUACCCCAAGUAUCUUACGAGUCAAUAGCGUAUCGCCAUAUCAGAACAGCGGUGCUCAAUCUCAAGAUCCUGACUAAGUGAACAAGUAAACAUGCAGUAAAUGUGAUACCAUCACUGGACAGUACUACACAGUGUGUGAACUGGUAUUUUUGUUUACCUCUCAUGUAGCGUAUAUUUCAUGUUCACAUGUGACUGUUAUCUUAUAGUAUUUUCCUCUGUUAUUUAAUAUAUUAACUGUGUUGCAUUAUAUUAACAUAUAACAACAGACUGUUAUAUCCCUAACACCUGCAUAGGCUUUAAUUGGCUGAUACAAACUUUCUGGUGCUAAAUUUGAUGCAUUUUCUAUGUCACUUUUUCCUACGUUUGUUUACAAUGAGGGGAUACCUCAUCAGUACAGUAAACUUGUACCUUGUUUGUACAACAGAUGAGCACCUGCGAGGCGAUUUAACUAUGAAUGAUCUAAAAAAGCAAAACAUUUCAACUCCAUAUAGCAUCCUACCUAUAAUAUUGUAAAAGCUUGCAUUUGGUCUAUUAUGUUUGAAAUGCUGUCAGGUGAGCUAGCCUUCCCAAAUUAACAUCUUCAAUCUCAUACUUUCAUAUGACUACACCCUUACAUUUGUGCUUGUCCAGCUUAGCCUCUGGUUGAUCUACAGGGAUAAAUUUUCUUGAGUCAUGAAGACUGAUGCCGGCGAUAAUCAGUUUGCUUGUUACAAACAUGUCUGCUAGCCCUGGUUUUGCUAUUUCACUUUACAUUUUUUAAUCAUCUGAGCGCAAAACUUGUUGUUUCGUCGAUUUAAGAUAUUUAUAUGUCACAAGAUGUGAACUGAAGACGACGACAUAAUGACGGAAGUUUUCCAUUAGCUUUGUUCGUACAAAUAAUGUAGCGGUCUAUAUGUUAGUUUGGUUUUCUGGUAUGGACGUCGGAAGUUACUGUAUGUUCACAUUAUAUGCGUGUUGUUGCCUUAAUCAUAAUGACAUAUUGACUAGCUUAAUGUUGUAUAUGAUUACUUAUUGCAUUUUAUUACAAAUUGUACUUACUGGAGGUUAUAACGAGGCACCUUCAUUGUCUUCUUUGUA